AAAAUACAUGGGUUUGGAAAGAAAAUGGAUGAAUUAUAACUUCACAUUAUGAGUCACGGUUCUCGAGGUUUUUUGAUUUUUUUAAAUUUAUUAAUUAAACUGUUUUUAUUGAUAAUUAAUUAAUAGAAAAAUAUUAAUGGUAGACGUGGUUGGUAGUCAAAUAAAAAAUAAAACCUAAAAUUUGUAGAAGUUAUUUUAAUUUAUUAAUUAUCUAAUUUAGAUACCAAAAUAAAAAACAAAUAUUAUAAAUAAAUGAAAA
rnacentral:lncRNA from 1 species